rnacentral:tRNA from 1 species
UGGUAUUUAGUUUAAACUAAAACAAGUGAUUUCGACUCACUAGACUGCGAUCCAAGCUCACAAAUACCAA